rnacentral:tRNA from 1 species
AGCAGAGUGGCUUAAUGGACAGAGCACGGGCCUGAGGGUCAGGAGGACCUAGGUUCUAAUCCUGGCUCAGCUG